UCAGAACGAACGCUGGCGGCAGGUCUAGGCAUGCAAGUCGAACGGAUGACAGAGAGCUUGCUCUACUGAAGUCAGUGGCGACACGGAGUGAGUAACGCGUGGGAAACUGCCCUUCACUGGGGAAUAACGUUUGGAACGAACGCUAAUACCGCAUACGCCCGCAAGGGGAAAGAUUUUAUCGGUGAUGGAAUGUGCCCGCGUUGGAUUAGCUAGGUUGGUGGGGUAAUGGCCUACCAAGGCGAUGAUCCAUAGCUGGUCUGAGAGGACGAUCAGCCACGCUGGAACUGAGACACGGUCCAGACUCCUACGGGAGGCAGCAGCUAAGAAUAUUGGGCAAUGGAGGAAACUCUGACCCAAGCCAUGCCGCGUGAAUGAAGAAGGCCUUCGGGUUGUAAAGUUCUUUUAGUCAUGAAGAUGAUGACAGUAGUGACAGAAAAGCACCGGCUAACUUCGUGCCAGCCGCGGC
rnacentral:rRNA from 1 species